rnacentral:rRNA from 1 species
GAUGAACGCUGGCGGCGUGCCUAAUACAUGCAAGUCGAGCGAACAGACGAGGAGCUUGCUCCUCUGACGUUAGCGGCGGACGGGUGAGUAACACGUGGAUAACCUACCUAUAAGACUGGGAUAACUUCGGGAAACCGGAGCUAAUACCGGAUAAUAUAUUGAACCGCAUGGUUCAAUAGUGAAAGACGGUUUUGCUGUCACUUAUAGAUGUAUCCGCGCCGCAUUAGCUAGUUGGUAAGGUAACGGCUUACCAAGGCAACGAUGCGUAGCCGACCUGAGAGGGUGAUCGGCCACACUGGAACUGAGACACGGUCCAGACUCCUACGGGAGGCGGCAGUAGGGAAUCUUCCGCAAUGGGCGAAAGCCUGACGGAGCAACGCCGCGUGAGUGAUGAAGGUCUUCGGAUCGUAAAACUCUGUUAUUAGGGAAGAACAAAUGUGUAAGUAACUAUGCACGUCUUGACGGUACCUAAUCAGAAAGCCACGGCUAACUACGUG